rnacentral:lncRNA from 1 species
AGUCGACUCGGUAAACAUUGGAGUCGACUCGAAAUCCUCAGGAGUCGACUCGAAGACUAUUCUUUUGAAUUUUUUCUUUGAUUUUACUCUUCCAAAUUGAAUCCUUUGAACUUUAAGCUUGGGCCAAUAAAUUGUAGCUUUCUUCCAACUUGAGAGCUUUGGAGGCCUUCUUUUGUUCUUCCAACUUGCUAUGUUCCUUGCAAAAUAAAUAUCUUUCUCCUUGCAACAUAAACAUUAGUAUUUAUACUUCAAGAUUUUGUGAUCAUCAAAAUCAAUCUAUGAAUCAAUCUUUGGGUCAUCAAUCUUCCCCUUUUUGAUGAUGACAAAACUUGGAGUAUAUGCAAUAUAAAAGAUAUUGAUUUCUAGAAGUAAUACAUAGCUAAGUUGCAUGAAGUGGAAAACAUAUAUAUUUAAAAACAUACUUCAUGAUAAUGCUUUAGCUUUAAUCAGCUUAACACAAUCAACA